rnacentral:rRNA from 1 species
GAUGAACGCUGGCGGCGUGCCUAAUACAUGCAAGUCGAGCGAACAGACGAGGAGCUUGCUCCUCUGAUGUUAGCGGCGGACGGGUGAGUAACACGUGGAUAACCUACCUAUAAGACUGGGAUAACUUCGGGAAACCGGAGCUAAUACCGGAUAACAUGUUGAACCGCAUGGUUCAACAGUGAAAGACGGUCUUGCUGUCACUUAUAGAUGGAUCCGCGCCGCAUUAGCUAGUUGGUAAGGUAACGGCUUACCAAGGCAACGAUGCGUAGCCGACCUGAGAGGGUGAUCGGCCACACUGGAACUGAGACACGUUCCAGACUCCUACGGGAGGCAGCAGUAGGGAAUCUUCCGCAAUGGGCGAAAGCCUGACGGAGCAACGCCGCGUGAGUGAAGAAGGUCUUCGGAUCGUAAAACUCUGUUAUUAGGGAAGAACAAAUGUGUAAGUAACUAUGCACGUCUUGACGGUACCUAAUCAGAAAGCCACGGCUAACUACGUG